GGAAAGAGUAGCACUAAUAGCAAAAAAUACAGAACAAUGCAGGACAUCGUUUGCCAGUGCGCGGGCAAAGAAGAAAGGCCAAACACAACAACAUGCCGCACUGGUUGUGAAGCUCGUAUAAGACUACAUCGAACUGACGACCAUGGAUGGUAUGUGACCGUUUUCAUUAACAAGCACAAUCACCCACUAUCUGUGAAGUGUGGUGAGAAAAAACAGUGGAAAUCACAUAGCGUCAUAAGUCCUUUAGCAAAGGAUUUUAUUCGUAACCUCAGGGAGAACAACAUCAGAUUUGAUCAGAUAUACAACAUAUUAGGGUCAGGUCUUGGAUCUUCUCUAGGCGUGCCUUUUAGAAAGCAGACACUGAGAACACUGUGUGCAAGCAUAGCUCAUGAUUCUAUCGCCAAUGAUAUGGCCAAAACCACUACUAUACUUCAGGAUAUGAGUGCCAAAGAUCCGGACUUCAAAGUUUGCGUGCAAGUAGAUGGUGAAAGCAGGGUGAAAACAGUAAUAUGGUGUAAUGGUAAAAACCGUCUAGAUUAUGCACAUUUUGGUGAGGUGGUUACUUUCGAUACCACUUACAGGACCAACCUGUAUAACAUGCCAUUUGGGCUUUUUGUUGGUGUCAAUAACCAUUUCCAGUCUAUUAUUUUUGGUGGCGUCCUCAUGGUUGAUGAAAAGACUCCUACAUUUGAGUGGGCAUUCAGAAAUUUUAUUGACUUGAUGGAUGGGAAACAUCCUACUACUAUAUUGAUAGAUCAAUGCAAAGCUAUGCAAAAUGCUUUACGAACUACAAUGCCCCACACCCGUCACAGAUGGUGCAGAUGGCAUGUGUUAAAGGUGUUGAAAGAGAAAAUUGGACAUGUGUACAGCAAACAUUCUGUCUUCAAGAAGGAAUUCCACGCGAUAGUAAAUGAAGAGACGGAUGUAGAAUCAUUUGAGCGGAGGUGGCAUCAAUUGAUUAAAAAAUACAAGCUUCAAGGAAACAAGUACCUUCGCAGGAUUUUCAAAUGGAGGGACAUGUGGGCAAUGCCAUACUUCAUGGGCACUUUCUGUGCCGGAAUGACCAGCACGCAAUGGAGCGAGAGUGCGAAUCAUCUCUUGAAAAAGUUCAUCAGCAGAUCAUCCCCAAUGCACUUGUUCGUUAAGCAGUACAACAAAUUGCUUGAAUCCAGGAGCCAGGCAGAGGACAAGGCAAACUAUGUCAGCAAGCAGACACGCAGACUGCUUGUAAUUGGCGCUACUAUCGAGAUAGAUGCAGCGGCUGUGUACACGAAGGCCUUGUACGAAAAAUUUUCACACGAACUUUUUAGAUCUGGCUCUUUUGAUGCACGCCGUCCCAAGCCUGGUCAUGUCUACAAGGUCAAGUUGUCGCCGCAACUAGCCUUAACUGAUUAUGACAAAAAAAUAUUCACUGUCAAAGUGGAGGACGGUUGGGAUCUUGUCACAUGUGAUUGUGGAUUUUUUGAUCAUGUCGGAUUG
rnacentral:rRNA from 1 species